rnacentral:rRNA from 1 species
CCUACGGGUGGCAGCAGUGGGGAAUAUUGGGCAAUGGACGCAAGUCUGACCCAGCAACGCCGCGUGAAGGAAGAAGGAUCUCGGGAUGUAAACUUCUAUUAAGGGGGAAGAGAAGAAGACGGUACCACUUGAAUAAGCCACGGCUAACUACGUGCCAGCAGCCGGGGUAAUACGUAGGUGGCAAGCGUUGUCCGGAUUUACUGGGUGUAAAGGGCGUGCAGGCGGGGAGACAAGUCAGAUGUGAAAUCCACGGGCUUAACCCGUGAACUGCAUUUGACACUGUUUCCCUUGAGUGUCGGAGAGGUAAGCGGAAUUCCUAGUGUAGCGGUGAAAUGCGUAGAUAUUAGGAAGAACACCAGUGGCGAAGGCGGAUUACUGGACUAUAACUGACGUUGAGGCGCGAAAGCGUGGGGAGCAAACAGGAUUAGAUACCCUUGUAGUC